rnacentral:lncRNA from 1 species
CAGCUUCUGCAGAAAGUCGGCUUUCAUACAGACUUAGUGCGUGGUGCACAAAUUCAUACUGUUCACUGGUCUGAACCAUUCCACCUCUGUCCACUCGUAACUGGCAGACAAUGCUCAAUGCAUCUACAACUCCUUCUUCCUUCAACUGCUGACAACCAAUGGCAGUGGCAAUAAAACACCCAGUUCUUCCUAUACCAGCACUGCAGUGCACGACGAUGGGCCCUCGGGCAGGUGCUUCCAGCCUGUCCUCCUCUACAUCCAGCAUCAGCUGCAGCAGUGGCUGGGCGCUGUCGGGUGUUUU